UACGAAGGGGGCUAGCGUUGCUCGGAAUUACUGGGCGUAAAGGGCGCGUAGGCGGUCUUGCAAGUCCCGUGUGAAAUCCCUCGGCUCAACUGAGGAAUUGCACGGGAAACUGCUUGGCUUGAGAUCGGGAGAGGGAAGCGGAAUUCCGGGUGUAGAGGUGAAAUUCGUAGAUAUUCGCAAGAACACCAGUGGCGAAGGCGGCUCACUGGCCCGAUACUGACGCUGAGGCACGAAAGCGUGGGGAGCAAACAGGG
rnacentral:rRNA from 1 species